rnacentral:rRNA from 1 species
AUUGAACGCUGGCGGCAGGCUUAACACAUGCAAGUCGAGCGAGCGGCGGAUGGGUGAGUAAUGUCUGGGAAACUGCCUGAUGGAGGGGGAUAACUACUGGAAACGGUAGCUAAUACCGCAUACCAUCAGAUGUGCCCAGAGGGGAUUAGCUAGUAGGUGGGGUAAUGGCUCACCUAGGCGACGCUCCCUAGCUGGUCUGAGAGGAUGACCAGCCACACUGGAAAUGAGACACGGUCCAGUCUCCUACGGGAGGCAGCAGUGGGGAAUGUUGCACAAUGGGCGCGAGCCUGAUGCAGCCAUGCCGCGUGUGUGAAGAAGGCCUGCGGGUUUUAAAGCACUUUCAGCGAGGAGGCGUUACUCGCAGCAGAGGCACCGGCUAACUCCGUGACAGCAGCCGCGGUAAUUC